AACGCAAAUUGCGCCUUCUUUCGGAAGGCAUGUCUGUUUGAGGGCACCAUUUAACAAAUAAUGUGCGCGUCGUUUAUGGACGACGUGCGCACGUUGAUGAGCUUUUCCGAAAAAACCAGGUUUUUUUUGGUGGCGCAUAAUGAACAGCGUGGGCUUUUUCUUCGAUUCUCGUGUAGUAAAUCUUCAACGCUUGGGUUGAGAAAAAGUGCGUGCCGCGCAAUGGGUGUGGCGAAUCUACCCCUGCCCCAAUGCCACUCUUUCCCUGCGAAAGAACAAUCUUUUAUUAAGGGCCUCAAAUCAGACAAGAGUACCCGCUGAACUUAA
rnacentral:misc_RNA from 1 species